AGAACGUCGUGAGACAGUUCGGUCCUUAUCUGUCGCAGGCGGAAGAUAUUUGAAGGGAGCUGUCCUUAGUACGAGAGGACCAGGAUGGACAUACCGAUGGUGUAUCAGUUGUCACACCAGUGGCACGGCUGAGUAGCUAAGUAUGGAAGGGAUAAACGCUGAAAGCAUCUAAGUGUGAAGCCCACCCUAAGAUAAGAUAUCUCAUACCGUAAGGUAGUAAGAAUCCACGUAGACUAUGUGGUUGAUAGGUUGGAGCUGUAAGUGCAGUAAUGUAUUAAGGUGACCAAUACUAAUAAUUCGAGGGCUUAACCAC
rnacentral:rRNA from 1 species